rnacentral:rRNA from 1 species
UACGUAGGGGGCAAGCGUUGUCCGGAAUCAUUGGGCGUAAAGAGCGUGUAGGCGGUCCUGUAAGUCCGCUGUGAAAGUCAAGGGCUCAACCCUUGAAUGCCGGUGGAUACUGUCGGGCUAGAGUGCGGAAGAGGCGAGUGGAAUUCCUGGUGUAGCGGUGAAAUGCGCAGAUAUCAGGAGGAACACCGAUUGCGAAGGCAGCUCGCUGGGACGUAACUGACGCUGAGACGCGAAAGCGUGGGGAGCAAACAGG